AUGGACGCGCAGCGAGCUUUGCUAGACGAACUCAUGGGAUCUGCUCGUAACUUGACGGAGGAAGAGAGAAAGGGGUACAAGGAACUCACGUGGGAAGAUAGGGAGGUUUGUCGAUUCUAUAUGGUUCGGUUUUGUCCUCAUGACCUCUUUGUGAACACUCGAAGUGAUCUAGGUCCAUGCCCAAGAAUUCAUGACCAGAAGUUGAAAGAAAGUUUUGAGAAGUCUCCAAGGCAUGACGCUUAUGUCCCCAAAUUUGAAGCUGAACUUGCUCAGUUUUGUGAGAAAUUGGUGAUGGACUUGGAUAGAAAAGUUAGACGUGGACGCGAACGCCUUGCUCAAGAGGUGGAGCCUGCACCUGUUGCUCCAUUGCCAGCUGAAAAGUCUGAACAGCUAUCGGUGUUGGAAGAGAAAAUAAAGAACCUGCUGGAGCAAGUUGAGGCUCUUGGUGAAGCUGGAAAGGUUGAUGAAGCUGAAGCUCUUAUGAGAAAGGUGGAGCUACUGAAUGCAGAGAAGACAGUUUUGACACAACAACCUCAAAAUAAUGUAUUAAUGCUUGCACAGGAGAAGAAGAUGGCUUUAUGUGAGAUAUGUGGUUCCUUUCUAGUGGCUAAUGAUGUUGUAGAGAGGACUCAGUCUCAUGUUUCAGGGAAGCAGCAUGUUGGUUAUGGCAUGGUCCGGGAUUUCAUAGCUGAGUUUAAGGAGGCCAAAGAGAAGGCAAGAGAAGAGGAAAGGUUAGCAAGGGAGAAAGAAGCUGAAGAACGGAGGAAACAGAAGGAGAAGGAAACUGAGAGGAGUCAUUCACAGGACAGGGACAGGUAUCAUGAUCGAGACAGAGACCGAGAGCGGGACCGACAUAGAGAACGUGACCGGAGGUCACGAGAGUGGAAUGGUAGAAGUAGUAGGGAUGAUCGGUCCAGAAAUGGAAGAGACCGAAGCAAGGAUCGAUACCGUAACCGAAGCAGGUCGCGUUCCCCUCUUAGACGUAGUCACAAGAGGUCAUCUAGAAGUCCAGUUCGCCAAUAUUAAGGGAUUGUGUUGAUAGAUGUCUGAGCUUUGACAUUUGAGCUUUGUUGAGACUUGAGACUAUACCAUAUCCCUUUCAUCAAAUAUUAUGGGAGGAUAAAAGGGUUCAGGGUGGACUCUAUAUGCUUGAAUGACACUGCUGCCAAGAGAAGUGGUUUUAUUUAUCUGUUUUGAGUUGGUGAUUCAGAUUGCAAGUAUAGCCCUUUGCAAAAAGUAAGGCCCAGCACUUGAGCAGGAACUCAAAGAGGUAACUAGAACUCAUUAUCUGGCAGAUAGCAUUUCUAAUUCCAUUUUGCAGGAGAGAUUGGCGUUUCCUGAAAAUGCCAUAGAAAUGGUAAGUAGAUGCUGCUCACAACGUCGAGGGAUAUACUUUUACCAGGAAACUUGAACUUAUCCAGCAGUUAUUGGCCAGGGGACAACAUUUGAAAUACAUGGUAAUUGGAAAAUCUAGUGCAUUUGAAAAACCUAUCAAUCUUGUGAGCAGGCAAAAAAAUUAUCUUGCAUGAUUUUGUCUUGUUUUUCGUAUGGGAUACUAUAGAGUAUAGAGGACUUGACUUUUGGUAUUUGGUGGUGUGAUUUUUCUAUUUAGUUUGUCAUUUCCUGCGAAGUUUGAGAUCCCUAUGGAGACAUCCAUUACGGUGCAUUUUUUUUAUGAGACUUGUGAAUUCCAUCUUGUGCGGGUUUAGUGUACGGCUCCCACAGACAGCAGUGCGGGUACCGCCACGAAUUGGUGGGAAGCGUGUGUAGCCGGAUUCUGGAUUUCUCAAACUAUUUUAUUUCUCCAUUCUGUGAAUAGGGUCUUUGAAAAA